rnacentral:rRNA from 1 species
CAUGCAAGUCGAGCGAGAACCCGCAAGGGGGACAGCGGCAAACGGGGUAGUAACGGGUAGGCAACGUACCCUUCGGAUGGGGAUAGCCACGGGAAACUGUGGGUAAUACCCAAUAAUCUCUCUGAUAAUCAUCGUUGGAGAGCAAAGGUGUGAUUCCACCGGAGGAGCGGCCUGCUUCGUAUUAGCUAGUUGGUGAGGUAACGGCUCACCAAGGCGAGGAUGCGUAGGGGGUGUGAGAGCAUGACCCCCACCACUGGGACUGAGAUACUGCCCAGACACCUACGGGUGGCUGCAGUCGAGAAUCUUCGGCAAUGGGGGAAACCCUGACCGAGCGACGCCGCGUGUGGGAUGAAGGCCCUUGGGUUGUAAACCACUGUCAGAGGGGAUGAAGUGCGGGAGAGCAAUCUCUUCCGUUCGACAUAGCCUCAGAGGAAGC